UAUUAUUAAGUCCCUGUAUAUUUAUUUGUGAAAUACACAAGUAAGGAUGUAUGCAAUGAUCUUAAUUCUCAGGUAUCUAAUAUUUAAAAAUGAAUACACCACGUGUACAUUGUAGAAAUAAGCUCAAUUAAAAAAAAUUGCAGUUUGCCACAAAAAAUCCAAUUGGCCAGAUCCAGUGGAUCAAGCUUGGGAGAGAAGAAGAACAUUCACAGGUGAAAUGUCAUUGGCAUCACCAUUUAAGAAACGCUCUGCGAUGACAACAUUGGCAGCAUCAGAAGUAUGGUAAGUAUCCCAGAAAACAUACUUAGAUCGAUCCUCACAAACCUCUGAAUAACCACUGCAAGGGAUCAAACCUCCAAAUCGUCCAGCAACAUGACAGCAUGAGGAAUUUGAGUUCUCAAAACCUGUUACACAUUAAAAGGUUGGUUGUUAAUUUCCUAUACAGAAAGGACUAUGCAAAUUUAUGCAUGUAAAGAAAGGCGGUCCGGUGCACCAAAGCUACCGCUAUUCGUGAUUUCGGGGAAUGGUCCGAAUAUUUGGUCUAUUAUAUGUAGUCUUAGCUUGUUUUUUUAAUUUUUACACAAGAGACCGUUUAUGCCCGUGAUCUCAGUCAAAUGACAACAACUUUUUACCGUUGCGCCAUGACUCCCCUUCAAAUUUAUCCAAAAGUACCUUAAUAAAAAAAUGUUGGACAAGAAAACAUUGAGACAAUACCAUAGUCAUUGUAAUUGAUGAUGAUAUCUUCCACAAUAUGGUAAACAUCUGCAUAAACAAAUAAUGAUCCUUUCAGAUUUGUCCUAAGCUCUUCAAUGAGGCACUUCAAUUGAGUGUUAAAUAACCGGGCUAGCUCAUUAGGGAAAGUGACACAGUCAUCUCCAGCUUCUGAAUUAUAGUCCCUCAUAUAUGGUAUGCACCCAAUUGGCCCUACAUUUGCCACAACAAUUUUUCUGGCUCCUAGAUUGAAUACCCGCUGCAAAAAUUAAUAUACUAACAUAUAUGUGAUAAAUAAAAGAAAGUAGGAACUUCAUUCAAUCAAGGUUUCUAAGUAAUUAGCAAAAUUACAGUGAGCUGCACUCUGAGUCUUGAUAUCAUCAUGGCAACAAAUGAUUCUGGAGAUAGAAACUCCCUUUCAGGAAUUGAGAGCACAGGUGUCAAAUAGUUAUCAAGGAAAUCAUUUGAGCCAAGUGCUACUGUGAAGAGAGCUUUUUUAAACAAAUUAAGAGCUGUAGUAACACCAAUUCUGUUGAUAAUUUCUUCCCUUGUAAUUGCAAAGUUAUCAAUCUGUUCAUCGAAGUUGAUUCGACCACCCUGUGAAUGACAUGCAGACUCUGCUUAUUAUUUUGUAUUCUGAUGGCAUAAGGAUUAAAUUAUGUGCAACUCAUUCACUAAACUAAUGAUGCUGAGAAAACUGUUUAGUGUUCAAUAUCCAAUAUCAGUAGUUACUAGUUAGUUAGAUAAUAGUAAAUAAAUAUCACUAAUUAGUGCUCAAAGGUUGUUUCUUAUUGAUUUUUUUAGACAAUUUAUUUCACCUUCACCAUCCAGAAUUGUGAUGUGUCAAUUUUCUCUAUUAGUUUCUGGAUGACAAGUUAACAUUUAGACCAAAUUUGUUCAGUUUAAUUUGAGCAACUAAAUCUAUAGGGACCAAAAUCACACCCCCUAAACUAUAAUGAUAAAAGUAUGCAAUUAAGCCAAUAGUAAGUGUGUGCAUAGAACUUAGCCAACUAAACAUUAGCUGAAGCUAAGCAAGAGAACUCACUAGAAUCUGGCCAGUGUAAUUAAGAAUUCCAGCUGCACCAGAUGCAUAAUUGACACCCUUUAGAACAGCAGAUCCAGCAGUAGUAGGAGCCAAGUAAGGAGGAGAAAAUCCAAGACCAAGUUGUUGCUCUGGUAGUCAAAGAGAAAUUAAUUGAUAUGAUUAAAAAAAAAAGAUUGAACCUAACAGAAAAACUCUCUCAAAGUCUCACCAAUAAUAUCAACAACUGUUCUUCCAUUGGUGAAACGACCUGUUGGCAUUCCAAAAUCAAUUCCAAAGGGGUCAUGAUUUGCCUUGGCCAGUGAGUAAAUGUAGUUGUUGUUCCCCACAUCCAGCAGAGAAUCCCCAAAGACAAAAGAAGCUGGAAUAUCACUUGAAAUGCCAAUCCUUAACAAGAGCAAGACCUUGAAAACCAUAAACAUAAUCCUGAGAAUGGUUGUUCUUUUCAAGUAUAAAGUGAUACCCAUUGGAAAAGGAAGUUUUAGAAAAUGAAUUAGAUCAAUUUUUGAAGCAGGGGCCCCUGUUUUGCUCUGUUUCUCUGCUCAAGAUGGGGUCAUGGAUUGAACUUUAUAAUUGUGCAUAAGACUAAGGAAUAAUAUUCAAAUAACCGAUACUACUGUUACAUUCGUUGAGUGCAAGUAGGAUGAGCUGUGUAAUUUAUUUAGUUUUUGUUUAAAGGAUGAGCUGUGUUGAAAAAUGAGACAAUUUUUUAGUGGGCUUGAAUAGAAAUUGAGCUUUGUCUUCUAAUGAAACAUAUAUUUCAGUUCUUCAUUCUGUACUAUUUAUUCUCUGUACAUGCCAUGGAUCAUGGACAAUUGAGCACAAAGACAUUACUCGUGAUUCGUGAGGGUGACUAUUGAAUCAAUAAAAAAUUAGGCAAGAUUGAUAUUCAAUAGACAUACAAUUUUUUUUUUGGCUAUUUAGGACACUUGAAAAUGUGCAUUGCCAAAAAUAGCUAUUGAAAACUAAUUUCCUACCAGUAUGGAUAGUCUAAAUGGUACUUGAUAGAUUAAAAUUUUCUAAGUCCUGGGUUCAAAUCCUACUGGUACCUAGAUACAAAAAAAAAAACUAAUUUCCUGAAAAUACGUUUCGAACCACAAGGCAUAGUGUGGUGAUUAGCUGGCUCAAACACACAUUUAGAGUGAGAAAGAAAGGAAAAAAAUAAAUGAGAGACAUAAUGGAUAUGUGAUGAAAAAAUAAGAAAAAAAAUAUAGUGUAAUUGAGAUACAAGAGAAUGUGUUUGUGAAUAUAUCAAGUUAUUUUAAAUAAGCCCCUUAUAACUAACAUGGUUCAAGCGGGGGGUGGGUGGGUUAUGGGUGGAGUACUAUAGUGCUCAUCACCAUACCUGAGUUUUCAACAAGUGCUCGUACCCGUCUCUAUACCCGCGUGAGUAUCUUAAAUACCUGUCCUCGUACCCUCUGGGUACCAAUGUGCCCGUAUCCGUGCAUGUUACCUGCAAUUUAGUUAAGUAAAAUCUAAUUUUUGAUUUUUUCAAUAGAAAACCAAAAUAUAACUGCUAUUAUAAAAUAAAAAACAUUAAUUAAAAAUGCAAAAGACCAUCAAAAUAUUUAACAAGUAAAAUCAUCCGAAUAAUUAUAGUUUUUUUUUCUUUCAAAUUAAGCGACAAAGUUUUUAAAUUUAUACUUAACUAACUUAUUUUAAAAGUAAAUGAUAAUAAAUUAACAAUCAUACAUUAAUAUUAAGACUUCAUUUAUUUUUUAAAAGGAGGUUAGAAAUGUAUACUUCAAGUUUAUUAAUAUAUUACUAAUUUUGUGUGUAUGAUAUGUGUGUGGAUAUGGGUGGAUUGGGUAUCAUUGUGCCCAUACCCGCACCCGCACUCGUUAUUUUUUUUUUGCGGAUAUUUACUAAUCUCAUACUCAUCUAACGGAUUUUUACCCCACUUGUUGUGGGUACCCCCAUUGCCAUCCCUAAGUUCAAGUGAUACUCGUAAGCAACAUUUCGUGUUCGAAUAUUAUAUAUGAAAUUUUUUUCGUUAGCGGAGUAAAUCUCACAGGAAAUUGAUGUUCUCAACUCGAAUAAAAUUAUCUCCGCAAAUAAUUACGGACAAAAGAUAAUAAUAAUUCUCUAUAAACUAUUAAGUAUAUAUAUAUAUAUAUAUAUAUAUAUAUAUAUAUAUUUAUCUUUGAAAUAGGAUGUAAAGAAUGAUGUUAAUCUUUAACCGUCUAAAAUUUAAAAAUAAAUACACCUUUAUUUGUACAUGGUAGAAAUUAUAAGCUCAAUUUAAAUUAAUUGUCGUCUUUUUUAUAGUUUACCACAAAAAUUCCGGUUCGCCAAAUCCAUCAGCUUGGGCGAGGUGAAGAACAUUCACAGGUGAAAUGUCAUUGGCAUCAC
rnacentral:lncRNA from 1 species